rnacentral:lncRNA from 1 species
CCGCUGGUGCCGCUCUCGCUGUUCCCUCAGUGGUUUCCUGAGGGGGAGAGAGAUCUCCUGAGGGGAGAGGAAUCGCCGAGCUCCCGGGAGAAGCUCCGCGCCACGCUCCGAUGGGCUCCCAGGACCAUAUAUGGUCCCUCUAUAUCGCCUGCCUGCAUCCUGCUGUUUCCAUAAGGGAAGAAACAAAAGCGGUGUAAAACCAGCACUGGUGUUAUUUCAGCUUUUUCCUAUACAAGGAAAUGGGAAGGCAGUGAAAAAUGUUGGAAUCUGUGCAUAGUUUUCAGCUUGUAUGCCACACACACUAUAGGGUUACAUAAUAAAGUGAGGCAAAAGGGAAAGUGUGGGAAUUAUGUAGUGGUUUCUGCAGAGAGAGACCUGAGGCUUUGCAGAGGCUUCUUAGACAAGCCCUGCAAGCACUAUGCAACAAGAUUUUCAUACAGUGUCCAGUUUCCUGACCUGCUGCUGCAGCUUGCAAGAAAUAAAUACAAAAAUUUGUGACAAACACCUGAGGACUUUCCAUUUCCUCCAGAGAUGCUGCUGUUUAAAAAAGAAAUCAAAGUAGGUAGUAGGAAACUUAACUUAUGAUUUGUGUAUAGCUGGGUUUGGUGGCAAAGUAGAGUUAAGAAAAGAGCUGGGUUUGUGCCCUCAGGCUGAGGCAGCAGCAGGACACGCUGUCCUUCUGUGUGAGACACCUGUAAUUGUUGCAUCUCCUGGCUCACACUGCUUAUUAGCCUCUCCCAAAAAUCCCUCUUCCAUGCAGUCUGGGGAUUAUGCUCCAGCGAUAAAUGAUAAACCUGGAUCUGCCCCACAGGUGGAAAAAAAAGAUGCCAAGAGCCAUGAGAGGGCCUGAUUAUCCUGCUGUGUACACAAAUUGCACUGAAUGUUUCAGAAGAUUAUGAGUGGAAUCUAGAGGGAGGCUGUACCCUCUCUUUGACCCUAUGUAAUUAUUAGACCUAUUAAGUCAUCACAGUGCAGCCUACACCUCUUGGGAAGGGAACAGGAAUUGGUGCUGCACAUCCUUCCUGUGUUAAUCCAACUUCCAGGAGAAUUAACCAGUUUUCAAAAGGAGGAGUCAGAGAGAGACAGCCCCUCCCCUGUAAAAACCAUCUAAACAUCCCUCAGAAAAGAGGGAAGUUAAGGAUUGCCAGCUCAAGGUGCAUAGAAGGGAAUGGGAUGGGUGAUUAGUGUCCUAGCAGCAUCUAAUAAUUAUUCUGUCAAUAUUUCCAAUU